UUCUAAAAUGGCUUUCACACCAGUCAAUUUGAAAUUUUUGAUUAAUAUACUUUUGUAUUUGAGCACCUACAGUUGACUAAAAUAUAUUUGCUUUAUGAAUGUGGAUAGAUGAUGUGCUUCCGAGCUUGGAAGAACAGGGAGUCCGUCAGUUGUAUCCUAAAAGACCUAAUAUUGAUUUCAAGAACGAACUGAGAACGCUUAACAGAGAACUCCAGCUACAUAUUUUGGAGCUUGCUGAUGUUCUUAUAGAGCGGCCAUCACAAUAUGCAAGGAGGGUAGAAGACAUAUCUCUUAUAUUCAAGAACUUACACCACCUUCUCAAUUCAUUGCGUCCCCACCAACUAGAAUUUUCCUAAUUACUAUCUCUAGUUCUUGGUCUUUUUUAGAGAAUUCAGCUAAAUAUGUAGUUUUAAUUCAUUUUCUGUCCCUCGCAUUUAACUCCUUUUCUCACCUGUUCUUCUCAGGCCAGAGCAACUCUAAUUCACAUGCUAGAACUUCAGAUACAACGCCGUAAAGAAGCUAUGGAGGAUAUUAAGAGGGACCCUUCUGCUAGUCUUGAUGAUGUUUUUUAGAUGAUUGGAAAUUAAAAUUUUUACUUGGUUUUGUAACAUUUUAAAACGGUGUUGUCUUGGAAAUGCCUAUUUGCUUCUGCAGCUAAAUUAAGAAUUUGUAGGUUUUUGGACAGUGAUUUUAAUUUCAAGUUUUACAAUGAUUUAUUAUAGUUGUGGUGUUGACUUGGUUACAAGUUGCAGCAUGUCAGUUGAUUUUGCUUAACUGAAAAUUGAAUCAUUCUGUACAUACAUUGAUAUCUUCAUAAGAUCAUGUGCCCCAAACCCUCUCUCAUGCAGCCACACAAAAACAGACACAUUUAUGUACAUGUUUAUGCAUAUUGGUUGUUGCCUGCCUCAUUCACUGGAGACGGCGGUAGUCAAUAUUUGAAUGGACAGACUACGAAAUAUAUUUUUUCUAGAAGGCUAUUAUUACGAUGCAUCUUUCUUCAUUUGGAAGGAAACUGUCAAACCGAAUUUUUGUGGUUUGAGAAGUUGGCUUAUGUGGUUCUUAAACACCCAAAAUAUGUGGGAUGCUAAUGAUUUUGAUAUUUUUUUUAGCCUCAAGCCAUUUCUGUUUGGAAAGGGUAAUGCAUUCCGUUCUGGCCUUCUGGCUUUCAUUGGAGUUUUAUUCAUUACAUAGAAGAGGAUAUUUACUUUCAAGUUUAUUUACUCUAUUUGUUGUUUCCUUGCUUUGGGCCGAAGAAAGCUAUACUGCUUUGACACAUGGUGGCUGGUUUGCAAAGAGUGAUGAAUGAGUGAACAAAGUUGGUUUUCUUUCCCCUUUCCUUUUGUCUAGCACUUGUAUCAAGUUAGUUUGGGUGGGGUCAAACUAACACAAAGAGUGUGGUUGGAGCUUAGUGGUGAUCUCUUUAACCGUGAUUCGAAAACCAAAAUUUCAAAUUAUUCAAGUAAUUGGAUACAUACACAUUCGGCAUUUGUAUUAUAUAUAUAUAUAUAUAUAUAUAUGUAUUCAUAGAUGGAUGACAUUUGAAUAAAUUGCUUUGUUUUGAUUUAUAUGAUUGUUUUUAGGUUAGGUUGGUAUUGCUAGCAAGAAGGCUGUAAAUGGCGGCAACAACUACGUAUCCACCUCCACCACCAUAUUACAGGCUGUACAAGGAUUACAUUCAAAACCCUAAGUCGGCUCCGGACCCUCCUCCUAUUGAAGGCACUUAUGUCCUCUUUGGUGGUAGUUACAUUGUGAGAUUCUACCUCUAUUCAAGAAAUUGUCCUUAUUUGUCUUUAGUGUUAUGAAAAGUUUCAUAUUGAAGCAAAAUUUUACUAUAUGUUUUAUUUAUUUAUUUAUUUGAAAUGUAAAAUGUUGUGAAACUUCGCAAAAUUUUACUAUAUUUUUAUUUAUUUAUUUAUUUGAAAUGUAAAAUGUUGUGAAACUUUUAUUGGAGCUGAAUUGGUUGUCAAACUAUACUUAGUUCUAAAAUGGCCUCCACACCAAUCAAUUUGGAAUUUUUGAUUAACAUACUUUUGUAUUUGAGCACCUACAGUUGACUAAAAUAUAUUUGCUUUAUGGAUGUAGACAGAUGAUGUGCUUCCGAGGUUGGAAGAACGGGGAGUCCGUUAGUUGUAUCCUAAAAGACCUAAUAUUGGUACAUUAACCAUCUCUUCACCUCUGAUAAAUGCUACCUCAUGAAAAUAUUUGUUCACCUUGCCUGCAUUGUCAUGUCUCAUGCUGUCAAAAGUUAAUUUUUAACAUUUUGCUUAACUUCUUUCUAGUUGGUUUCUUUGUUUUUGCUUAUGUUUCUUAAUUCUGUAGUAGAUUUGUACUUUUAUACAUGGUACCAUGCAAGCAUUGGUAAUUCUAUGUUUAAUUAUAAUCUUCUUUAAAUACAUUUAAAUUUUCUUUUCUUUUCUUUUUUUGGAAACAUUACGUUCUUCUAGAUCAUUAAUCUUAGAGAAAAGCUGAUCCUUACGGCAUUUUGGAGGCUUAAAAGUACUGACUCCAUCUAGGGGUUGCUUUUUGCUUGUUGCUUGAUGCAAUACUGAGUGCUUGGACUGGCAAGCGUGAGAAAGCAAGUUCAAGGUAGAGGGUUACCAUUUUGUGCAAAUAAUGUGAGAGGUUAGGUCAAUACUAGGGCCAUUACUCCUAGCACCCUCUAUUAUUGUGAACUGGCACUAGUGAAUGCAUUUUUUAAACUAAUUACUUUAUUUGAUUUUGUCAAAACGAUUUUAAGUUUUAACUGGUCUCUUUUUGGAGAUCAUGAAAGUAUAAUUUUCCAUUAAGAAAAACAUAGUAUUUGAAACUACAUUGGGGUCUGUAGUUAAAAAAUAGUUAACAUUUGGAUGCUACUAGUUUUGAUUAAAAAAAACAGUGAAUAAUUGUUCAAGAGGCUUCCAAGUGUGUUGUUCAGCGAUUCAUGUCAAGAAGCAAAAUCCAAUCAAAGAGCAUGGGAUUCUCCAUUGCCAAAUUCCUUUGUCACAUUGUCCCAAAACACUCACAACCGUUAUGCCUCAAGAUUACUAUGUCUGGAGAUUCUCACAUGAUCCAAUAAUUGUGAAUGUUUUAGGAUGGAUGGGCCCACUCAAAGAGCAGGAAAUAAUAACUUCAGUAUCAUACAUGGCAAAAGAUAGCAUACUACACAGAAAAAUGUGAACGUUUGAAAGUUGAAACAACUCCGACCUCAAAAACACAAGUUAAGUAGUUAUAGAUCUUCAAACAGGACUAACAUUCAAUCGAAACUACAAUAUCAUUUCCCAUAUACAUUUACAUCCCCAAACAACUAUACAUAUAUAUAUAUACACUCAAAUGAUUUUGCACUCCCUUCAUUUUCCAAAUCUUGUCAUUUAGCAUGUGUAAAAAUUUGUAUGUUUCUUACAUAAACUUGGUAGAACUAAGCUAAUUUAAAAGACAACAAAGAAAUGGGUUCAGUUCUACCACCUUCAACUAUUUUCUUUAAUUUUUUUUCUCCACAGAAACCAAACACAAACAACAGAUCUAUAGCUGUAUCAUAAAAACGGAUAAUGAAAUAAUCAGAUGAACCAAAAAAAAAAAUCGAGGGGAAAGAAUUGAAGACAUGAUGGAUACCUUAAAAACCGUAAGAUGGGUUUUCUAAGAAUAUAGAUGCAUCAAUCAAGAAUGGGGGUGGGAAAAUACUUCACAAAAUAAAACAUUUUCAAGAUAAACAUACAAGGUGGGAUUUGAAUUUACAUAGACUUAGUAGACCUAGGCUUCUUUAAAAGACAAUAAAAACAAUCUAAAUCCUGAAGAUGAAUACAUGGUCACAAAUGUGUUCAGUUCUUCCACCUUCAACUAUUUUCUUUCCUUUCUCUCUCAAAAAUCCCAGAAACCAAACACAAACAACAGAUCUAGAAAGUCGAUAACAUUAUAAAAAAAACAAAAAAAAAAA